rnacentral:lncRNA from 1 species
ACCAAAACAACAUUUGUUGUUGAAGUAGAAGUCCUGUGAGUGCAUUCUGACGAAGAACAGGAAAGGCGAGGCGAACGUCAGACGACUGACUCCUCGGCUUUGUGCACAGUGGGAGGGAAUCUCUCUCUCAGGAGGAACAGGAAUUAAACGGGCGCUCAUUAUGCCUGAAUUUGCAUCAGUAAAAGCGGAUAGCCCACAGUAGAAUGCAAUGGAAUAAAGGGAAUUCGGAGGAGAGGAAAGGUCUGAUUGGUGCCUGCAGAACACAUCUGACAUGGAGGGCAUCACCUGCCCCAUCCCCGGGCAGCAUGCCAUCUUCAAUCAAUCACUCAACUCAUAGAGAACAUGACAUCACUCAGGCUCACACUACUAUUGAGGACCUCUGAGUUCCCCUGCUACUGUCCCCAAUGACUCUUCUCUUCCUACCCCCUCCUUCUCUGUGACUCUCUUCGGUGACGGGUAUUCUUGGGUGGAUAAUACGGAUCACGUUGUUAUUGCUUAAGAAUACGCGUAGUUGAGGAGAGUCCUCUCAACACUGACUUGGAGGAGCUAAAGGAGCUAACGUCCCGCUGCAUGAGCCAAAGUAGAGCCAGGAUGACUGCCUGGUUUCCAUAUCCAGGACCAUUUAUUAAGCAACUAGAAAGAUUAACGUAACCUAAUUACUUUACUGGGCUUUCAGCUCUGCCCAACCCCUGUGGAUGCUAGCAGCAAAGACAGAAAGACAGGGAGAGUGAGAGAGAGAGGUAGAAGCUUAUUGCGCUUUUACAGUUACCUCUCCCAUUAUGUUUUUUCGCAGUAGGCUAUAUCAUAUUGUUGUAAUUACUGUAAUAUGAUUUGAUUACCCAUUCUACUGAAUGUUGUGUUUUCUGUUGUGUCGACUCUACCAGUCUGAUUACUUAAUAUUUUCUUCAAUUAAUUCAUUUAGGCUUCAGGGUGAAACAGGCUCAUUUUCACUUUAGGGAGUUGUGUUUUGUACUGAUGCCUUGCCUGGUGCAGUAAUGGAGAUUUGCUUUGGUCCUACAAAUACGCAACAUUUAGCUUGCAUACAUAUAGAUUUUGUGCGAACACAGUUUCUGGCCUAAGAGCUACUUCCCAGAGAUGUCAAGAUGACCAUGUUGCCUGUGGAUACCUCAUUGAGAGUAAAAGAGAAUAUAUUGGGAGAAGGAGAAACUAUGUGAGAGCAACUGAAUUUUAACAAAAAUAUUUUGAUUCUACCUCAGUGCUGUGUAUCAGUACAACCCUGUAACUCCGUGACAGAGAGCUAGUUGUUUUUGAUCACAGAGUAAAUAUCAACAAUAUGCAGAGAAACUGUCCUGGCACAUGUCAUUAUUCCACAUCCUAGCGCCAUGCAGACCCUCCCUCUGAAGAUCAAUUCUACAAGCCCAGUAAAAUCACUCCCCGACUCAUUCCCCAAUGCGUUUUCAUGCAAAACGAUUUACACAUCGAGAAGAGUCAUUACGCUUGAAUGACGUGGGGAAACGUCCCUCUCUUAGCUUACACUGGUGGAAAUCAAUGAGGUCUGCAUUACAGUCUUAUUGUGACAGUCAGUUUCUGCUGAAUCAUGCUGUUGAAUUUUUUGGCCGUUGGACCGUUGGCUUAUCAAAUUGGCCAAAGAGUUUAUGUUUGGUUGCAUUAGAUUAUAUCAAAUUAAAUAAAUGGAAGAAUUGAAGUUGCUCUCAAAAUGUCCCUAUAAUGACAUCUCUUGAAUCUGCUAUGCAUCUAAUGUUCCUAUCAUCUGAGGCUAAAAACAGAAGGUCUGCUCCAGCCUCUAAUGAAUCUAUCAUUAGAUUCAUAACUGUCAUAAUUAGAUCCUACCACUAGGGGAGCCCUGUAGCUGACAGUCAGACAAUUAACUCAAUUAAGUUUUUUUUUGUAACUGUUUUAUAAGGAGCAUUACUUUAGCAGCACUACUUAUGAAUCUGCACUGUUAGUCAGGCAGUGUGUUUUGCAGUACAAAUGGGCAUGCUUUUGACAAUCUGUUCAUUCAGUUUAUGACAUUUUGAACAUCAUUUUCUAAUCAGACAUUUUUGUUAAUUGAUUGUAUAUUUUUUUGUGACAUGUUGAAAACCCAGACAAUCUGUAAAAUCUUAUGGAUCGAAAACAACAUGACAAACAAUAAACAAACAAUUUGAAAUAUGUGACAGCUGAUGUGAUUUUAUCAUGUUAAUCAUGUCCACCAUUUUUUUAAAUCUCUAUAACACCAAACAAAUUAGAGGAUAUUUAUUCAAUCUUAAUUGCAAUGCCUUUGGAGUGUACGGCUCAAUCU